rnacentral:tRNA from 1 species
UAUUUAUAUAAUAUAUACAUUAUAUUUGACUUCCAAUCAAAACAUCUAGGAAUCCUAGUAUAAAUAA